rnacentral:lncRNA from 1 species
GAAGUCAGCCACUAAGUCUGGCCCACACUCAAGGGAGGGCAAUCGGCUCUACCUUUCGAGUGGAGGACUAAAAAAGGAUUUGUGGAUGUAUUUGAAAACCAUCACAGAUGAAUAGACAUCAUAUCCUUUUGCCGUGAUAAAUGUGGAAUAAUCAUCCUUAUAUGAAGAGCCUACUCACUUAUGCUGAUAAGAAGAAUGUAAAUAGAAGAGAAAACUGUUCUUCCCACUGUGAUAGGAACACUCCUCUGAUGACUGCAGUGCCUUUAUUGGCAAACACUCACAGCGUACAGAGGGCACAGUUCUAUGCCCAUACCUCUGACAAGCAGGAUCUCAUGGCUGCCCUCAAAGAACUUUGAAUCUCAGGAGAAGAGAGAUACCACCAUAAAAUUAUUAAACCAUGGAGGAGGUACACCAUUGUAUGCAUAAUGUAUAUAUCAAUUAUAAUUCUAGUUUAUUGCUUAUUGUUUUCAUGUGUAUUGAUUGUGUCAAUCAAACUGCAAUGUAAAUUCUUUGCACACAAGGGCCUCAUUUGUCUUCCCUCAUUUCUGCUUACUUUCCAGCACAGAGUCUGUCUCAUACUAGGACUUUAAUAAAACUUACUGAUAGAAUGGGGCUGGUCCACUGCUUUCUGGUUCCUGUAAAACCAUGAAUGUAUGGCUAUCCCAAGCAAUAGACGUAAAGCACUUCCUGAAUCAGAACACCUCUAACCUAUUAGAAAUUAUAAAAACUAAUUUGAAAAGAAAUUCUUAGACUUGAAGAAGGGAAUGAAAUAAUAGUAAUGAUACCUGACAUUGGGCCAUGCGCUCUCAUCUAAUUUAAUGGUCACAGCGAUCCAAUUCUGUCAUUAUUGCUAUCGUGACCAUUUAAA